CAGUCGAACGCACAGCGAAAGGUGCUUGCACCUUUCAAGUGAGUGGCGAACGGGUGAGUAACACGUGGACAACCUGCCUCAAGGCUGGGGAUAACAUUUGGAAACAGAUGCUAAUACCGAAUGAAACUUAGUGUCGCAUGACACGAAGUUAAAAGGCGCUUUGGCGUCACCUAGAGAUGGAUCCGCGGUGCAUUAGUUAGUUGGUGGGGUAAAGGCCUACCAAGACAAUGAUGCAUAGCCGAGUUGAGAGACUGAUCGGCCACAUUGGGACUGAGACACGGCCCAAACUCCUACGGGAGGCUGCAGUAGGGAAUCUUCCACAAUGGGCGAAAGCCUGAUGGAGCAACGCCGCGUGUGUGAUGAAGGCUUUCGGGUCGUAAAGCACUGUUGUAUGGGAAGAACAGCUAGAAUAGGGAAUGAUUUUAGUUUGACGGUACCAUACCAGAAAGGGACGGCUAAAUACGUGCCAGCAGCCGCGGUAAUACGUAUGUCCCGAGCGUUAUCCGGAUUUAUUGGGCGUAAAGCGAGCGCAGACGGUUGAUUAAGUCUGAUGUGAAAGCCCGGAGCUCAACUCCGGAAUGGCAUUGGAAACUGGUUAACUUGAGUGCAGUAGAGGUAAGUGGAACUCCAUGUGUAGCGGUGGAAUGCGUAGAUAUAUGGAAGAACACCAGUGGCAAAGGCGGCUUACUGGACUGUAACUGACGUUGAGGCUCGAAAGUGUGGGUAGCAAACAGGAUUAGAUACCCUGGUAGUCCACACCGUAAACGAUGAACACUAGGUGUUAGGAGGUUUCCGCCUCUUAGUGCCGAAGCUAACGCAUUAAGUGUUCCGCCUGGAGAGUACGACCGCAAGGUUGAAACUCAAAGGAAUUGACGGGGACCCGCACAAGCGGUGGAGCAUGUGGUUUAAU
rnacentral:rRNA from 1 species